UGAACGCUGGCGGCGUGCCUAAUACAUGCAAGUCGAGCGAACAGACGAGGAGCUUGCUCCUCUGACGUUAGCGGCGGACGGGUGAGUAACACGUGGAUAACCUACCUAUAAGACUGGGAUAACUUCGGGAAACCGGAGCUAAUACCGGAUAAUAUAUUGAACCGCAUGGUUCAAUAGUGAAAGACGGUUUUGCUGUCACUUAUAGAUGGAUCCGCGCCGCAUUAGCUAGUUGGUAAGGUAACGGCUUACCAAGGCAACGAUGCGUAGCCGACCUGAGAGGGUGAUCGGCCACACUGGAACUGAGACACGGUCCAGGCUCCUACGGGAGGCAGCAGUAGGGAAUCUUCCGCAAUGGGCGAAAGCCUGACGGAGCAACGCCGCGUGAGUGAUGAAGGUCUUCGGAUCGUAAAACUCUGUUAUUAGGGAAGAACAAAUGUGUAAGUAACUAUGCACGUCUUGACGGUACCUAAUCAGAAAGCCACGGCUAACUACGUG
rnacentral:rRNA from 1 species